UUUCCGUAGGUGAACCUGCGGAAGGAUCAUUAACAUAUAUCUGACGGCGAGGGUUCGCCCCGCUCAGGACCGAAAGGCGGUGAAGCGGGCGAGCCCGAGCGGCUCAACCUUUGCAUACACCACUGUGAACUUUUGUCGGCAAAGGACCCGCGUGGCCCCGAGCCAGAACACAAACACUAAUUUACAGAACGAUCUGUUGCCGCAGCGCCGCCGAAACCUUAACAAUGUUUAACAACAGAUCUGAUUGCCCUCGCAUCGAUGAAGAACGGAACAGAUAGG
rnacentral:misc_RNA from 1 species